GUUGUAUGGUUAAGUGACUAAGCGUACACGGUGGAUGCCUUGGCAGUCAGAGGCGAUGAAAGACGUAGUAACUUGCGAUAAGCCCAGAUUAGGUAGUAACAACCAUUUGAGUCUGGG
rnacentral:rRNA from 1 species